rnacentral:rRNA from 1 species
AGAGUUGAUCCUGGCUUAGGACGAACGCUGGCGGCGUGCUUAACACAUGCAAGUCGAGCGAGGAAAUUCCUUCGGGGAUUCCUAGCGGCGGACGGGUGAGUAACACGUGGGCAACCUGCCUGAUAGAGGGGGAUAGCCUCCCGAAAGGGAGAUUAAUACCGCAUAAAGUCAAAUGAAGGCAUCUUCAAAUGACCAAAGGAGUAAUCCGCUAUCAGAUGGGCCCGCGGCGCAUUAGCUAGUUGGUGAGGUAACGGCUCACCAAGGCGACGAUGCGUAGCCGACCUGAGAGGGUGAUCGGCCACAUUGGGACUGAGACACGGCCCAGACUCCUACGGGAGGCAGCAGUGGGGAAUAUUGCACAAUGGGGGAAACCCUGAUGCAGCAAACCGCCGCGUGAGUGAUGAAGGCCUUCGGGUUGUAAAGCUCUGUCUUCAGGGACGAUAAUGACGGUACCUGAGGAGGAAGCCACGGCUAACUACGUGCCAGCAGCAGC